UCGUAGAUAUCGGGAGGAACACCCAUGACGCCGGCGACUAUCGGGGCCAAUGAGGACGAUGAGACGCGUUAGUCGUGGGGAGCUUACAGAACUUAGAUACCCUGGUAGUCAAGGCAGUCACACGAUGAGCACUAGGUAUAAUGGGUAUUGACCCGUCUCGUGCCGAUAGCUAACAGCAUUAAGUGCUCCGCAUGGGGAGUACGCACGCAUGGCUCAAACUCAAAGGAAUGAACAGGGGGCCCGCACAACCGGUGGAGCUAUGUGGCAUAUGUCGACGCUACAUGAAGAACACUUAACUGGGAUUAACAUCCCGAUGACACCUCGGGAAUCACGGAUUGCCAUUGCUUGCUAGCGACAAGAUGACAGAUACUGCAUCAAGGUCGUCAGCUCGUCUUGUGAGAUGUUGGGUUAAGUCCUCCAACGAGCGCAACUCACUCUUCUUCAGUGGCCUAGUAUGUCAGUUAGGCACUCUAAAGAGACUGCAUCGACUAACGGGGAGGAAGGUGGGGAUGACGUCAAGUCAUCA
rnacentral:rRNA from 1 species